GGCUGGGUGGCCGAGCGGUCUAAGGCGGUAGACUCAAGAAGAUCUUCUCUUCUUCCUCAAAGCAAUGCGAGGAGAUUUCUACUCUCGAAAGAGGCGCGCGUUCGAAUCGCGCCCCAGUCA